GAUGAACGCUGGCGGCGUGCCUAAUACAUGCAAGUCGAGCGAACGGACGAGAAGCUUGCUUCUCUGAUGUUAGCGGCGGACGGGUGAGUAACACGUGGAUAACCUACCUAUAAGACUGGGAUAACUUCGGGAAACCGUAGCUAAUACCGGAUAAUAUUUUGAGCCGCAUGGUUCAAAAGUGAAAGACGGUCUUGCUGUCACUUAUAGAUGGAUCCGCGCUGCAUUAGCUAGUUGGUAAGGUAACGGCUUACCAAGGCAACGAUGCAUAGCCGACCUGAGAGGGUGAUCGGCCACACUGGAACUGAGAUACGGUCCAGACUCCUACGGGAGGCAGCAGUAGGGAAUCUUCCGCAAUGGGCGAAAGCCUGACGGAGCAACGCCGCGUGAGUGAUGAAGGUCUUCGGAUCGUAAAACUCUGUUAUUAGGGAAGAACAUAUGUGUAAGUAACUGUGCACAUCUUGACGGUACCUAAUCAGAAAGCCACGGCUAACUACGUG
rnacentral:rRNA from 1 species